rnacentral:tRNA from 1 species
GGCCAGUUAGCUCAGUUGGUUAGAGCACCAUGCUAAUAACACGACUGUCAUGGGUUCAUGUCCCAUAUUGGUCA